GGGGAUAUAGCUCAAAGAUAGAGAACUUGGUUAGCAUACAUGAGACCCUGGGUUCAAACCCCAGUAUCACACA
rnacentral:tRNA from 1 species